GGUUGUGGCUCAGUGGUAGAGCACUUGCCUAGCAAGUGUGAGGCACUGGGUUCCAUCAUCAACACCACAUAAAAAUAAAUAAAUAAGUAAAAUGAAGGUAUCUGUUCAUCUACAACUAAAGUAUUUUUUAUAAAUAUUAAGAAAAUUGGGGGCUGGGGAUGUGGCUCAAGUGGUAGCGCGCUCUCCUGGUAUGCAUGUGGCCUGGGUUCGAUCCUCAGCACCA
rnacentral:tRNA from 1 species